GAUGAACGCUGGCGGCGUGCCUAAUACACGCAAGUCGAGCGAACGGACGAGAAGCUCGCUUCUCUGAUGUUAGCGGCGGACGGGUGAGUAACACGUGGAUAACCUACCUAUAAGACUGGGAUAACUUCGGGAAACCGGAGCUAAUACCGGAUGAUAUUUUGAACCGCAUGGUUCAAAAGUGAAAGACGGUCUUGCUGUCACUUAUAGAUGGAUCCGCGCUGCAUUAGCUAGUUGGUAAGGUAACGGCUUACCAAGGCAACGAUGCAUAGCCGACCUGAGAGGGUGAUCGGCCACACUGGAACUGAGACACGGUCCAGACUCCUACGGGAGGCAGCAGUAGGGAAUCUUCCGCAAAGGGCGAAAGCCUGACGGAGCAACGCCGCGUGAGUGAUGAAGGUCUUCGGAUCGUAAAACUCUGUUAUUAGGGAAGAACAUAUGUGUAAGUAACUGUGCACAUCUUGACGGUACCUAAUCAGAAAGCCACGGCUAACUACGUG
rnacentral:rRNA from 1 species